UCUAUAGCUCAAAUGGAUAAGAGCGUCAGCCUCCGGAGCUGAAGAUAUAGGUUCAAAUCCUAUUAGG
rnacentral:tRNA from 1 species